rnacentral:rRNA from 1 species
ACAGGGGGAUAACAUUGGAAGCGAUAGCUAAGACCGCAUAGGUACGGACACUGCAUGGUGACCGUAUUAAAAGUGCCUCAAAGCACUGGUAGAGGAUGGACUUAUGGCGCAUUAGCUGGUUGGCGGGGUAACGGCCCACCAAGGCGACGAUGCGUAGCCGACCUGAGAGGGUGACCGGCCACACUGGGACUGAGACACGGCCCAG